rnacentral:lncRNA from 1 species
UGGCACAUGAAGACAUCCGGCGUUUGAGACUGUUCUGUGUUAGAGAAGUGGAGAGGAGCCGGGUGCAGGCAAGUGUCCCCACAAAGCCUCUUCAGCUGAGAGCUACAGCAUCACAUGGGAUACAGGUGGGAGCAGACAAAGCCACAAAAGUCACAUGACACACAGCUCCCUGCUGGAAUGAGGCGGGCUGUGUGGGGACAACCCAGCUGCCACCCAUCACUACCAAACGCCGUGGACUAACUGAACACCUGUGCCACCCACUGGUCAAAGAUAGUUACUGCAUCUGGAGUAGAAAUCAGGUAAAAUUAUGGCGGAAUAUUUAUCAUUUGCUAAAUUUGGUAAUAUUUUUGCUUAUUACGUGAAUUCAAUGUUUGAGGAGGAUGCUAAUCUGCCAAUUACUGGCCUAUUUGCCAUAAUGGAAGUUAGCUUGCUGGUACAAAUAAUAUUACUAGCCAGAGGACUCAGGAAUAGGGAUAAGGAUAACCUCACCACCUACUUACAGGAAAUAACAGCUUUACGCAGUGAGGUUUUGGAGAACAGAUUAGGUCAGACCACAAUUGUGCAGCAAGUGGAACAGAAAUUGGAUGAUAAGCUUGGCUUUGUGUCCAAUACGCUAAAGACAGAGCUGUCUGUUACCCAAGAUGAGAUGCAGCGUAUUUAUGCCAUGUCUGAGGCCUUAGAGGCUAGGCUGUCAGAAGACCGUGAUGAGCUAAAGAAUAUCUGUAGCCAGCUAGAAACUCAGGCAAUGUUACCCAGAAAUUAGAUGCAAAGGUGCAAAAUACCCAGGAUAGGGUUGAAGAAUUGGACAAUGCCAUUCAAUCAAUUAUUGAAGUAUCCAAGGUAGCAGAUCAGAAAUUUGAGUCUAGAUUUGAAUGUUUGGAAGAUAAUUUACAGUACAGGGCUGACAGAUUACAUAGGUCCAUACGGUCGAUUGCUGAGGACUCAAAAUCAGCAAAUCAUGACCUCGAAUCUAGACUCCAAUACCUAGAAGGCAGUUUCCAUGCCAUCCAGAUGCUGCCUAAGGAUGAUCGUAUUAAAGACAUAGAAAAACAUGUAAAUGAGCAGUUAGAGCAAUUUACAGAUUCACUAACGUGCUUGGAAUCUUUUAUGAUUAAGGAGAUUGAAACUUUUCAAAAGGAUAUCAUUACUAGGCUUAAAGAUCAGUGGGAUGCCUCAGAAGCAGAAUCACUCCAAUCCCAGGCACCUACUCCACCCAGAUAUCGUGACUAUUCCUCUAAGGUUGUGACUCAUGCACCAUUAGUGUACCCAGCUACCAUGGUAGAAAAGCCAGCUUCUAAGAAACACCCUCAUGGACGGAUGGCUUAUGAAUGGUAACCUAUACAGCUGAAGGA